CCUACGGGCGGCUGCAGUGGGGAAUAUUGGACAAUGGGCGAAAGCCUGAUCCAGCCAUGCCGCGUGUGUGAAGAAGGCCUUCGGGUUGUAAAGCACUUUCAGUGGGGAAGAAAGCCUUGGGGCUAAUACCCUCGAGGAAGGACAUCACCCACAGAAGAAGCACCGGCUAACUCCGUGCCAGCAGCCGCGGUAAUACGGAGGGUGCGAGCGUUAAUCGGAAUUACUGGGCGUAAAGCGCGCGUAGGCGGUCUGAUAAGCCGGUUGUGAAAGCCCCGGGCUCAACCUGGGAACGGCAUCCGGAACUGUCAGGCUAGAGUGCAGGAGAGGAAGGUAGAAUUCCCGGUGUAGCGGUGAAAGGCGUAGAGAUCGGGAGGAAUACCAGUGGCGAAGGCGGCCUUCUGGACUGACACUGACGCUGAGGUGCGAAAGCGUGGGUAGCAAACAGGAUUAGAUACCCCAGUAGUC
rnacentral:rRNA from 1 species